rnacentral:rRNA from 1 species
GAGAUUGCCUCUUGUCUCGUGGGCUCGGAGAUGUGUAUAAGAGACAGGGGUAAAAGCUUUUGGAGGGCCGAACUGACGUCUGUUGCAAUAGACGCAGAUGAGUUGAGGCUAGGGGUGAAAGGCCAAUCAAACUUAGAGAUAGCUGGUUCUCCGCGAAAUUUAUUGAGGUAAAGCGUUCAACGAUGUAGAAAGGGGGUAGAGCACUCAUUAGGUAAAGGGGAUCCAAAGUCUUACUGAACUUAUUGAAACUCCGAAGACCUUUCUUUGAUAUCUUGAGCAGACAGACUUAAAGUGCUAAGGUUUUAAGUCAAAAGGGAAACAGCCCAGACUGUUCGCUAAGGUCCUUAAACAUUUUGGAAGUGGUAAAAGGCGUUUUAAAACAAAGACAGCUAGGAGAUUGGCUUGGAAGCAGCCAUUCUAUAAUGAAAGCGUAAUAGCUCACUAGUCGAGUUUUAAAGCACUGAUAAUGUAUCGGGGCUUCACAAAAUUACCCAAGCGACAGAGAACAAUGGUAGCGGAGCGUUUUGUAGACCGUAGAAGAAGUUUUGUGAAAAACUUUGGAGGAUUCAAAAGUGAGAAUGCUGACAUGAGUAACGAAAAAUCAUGUGACAAUCAUGAUCGCCGUAAGUUCAAGGGUUUCUGCGUUCUGUUUUUCAGCGCAGAGUGAUCCGGUCUCUAAGUGUGUUUUUGAUAAAAAACCACGAUGAAAAAAAUGAAAGAUGACGAAAUGUUUUUUAGAAACCAACAGUUUAUUGGAUAGCUUUUUCGUUUCUAAUGUUUCCAGGAAAAAUCUUCAUAAAAUUGACCGUACCCUAAACCGACACCGGUGAACGAGUCGAGUAGACUCAGGCGUUGAGAGAACCAUAUUGAAGGAACUCGGCAAAUUUUUCCUGUACCUUUGGAAGAAAGGAAGCCAAUUUUGGUGACACAAAAAUGGGGGUGACGACUUUUUACUAAAAAAUUAGGACUCUGCAAAAUGGGAACAUGAAGUAUAGGGUCUGACGCCUGCCCGGUGCUUGAAGCUUAACCUGUAUGCUUUUUUGGUAUAUUGAGAAGGCCUAGUAAACGGCGGUUGUAACUAUAACAAUCAUAAAGUAGCGAAAUUCAUUGUCAGCUAAUUCCUGACCUGCAUGAAAGGCGUAACGAUUGCCCCACUGUCUCCAGUAUGGACUCAGUGAAAUUGAAUUCUCCGUGCAGAUGCGGAGAACGUGCCCCAAGACGAGAAGACCCUAUGCAUCUUUACUGUACAUUUACACUGGAAAAAAGCUUAAAUUGUGUAGGAUAGGUGGGAGUUGACAACAACCUUGAAAUACCACCCUUUUUAAGAAGAGUUCCUUAUUUGAACAAGGUUCAAAAACACUGUAUAUGAGGCAGUUUGACUGGGGCGGUCGCCUCCCAAAGAGUAACGGAGGUGUGCGAAGGUAAACUCAAUGAAAGACGGAAACUUUCUGUAGAGCGUAAUGGUAAAAGUUUGCCUGACUGCGAGAGUGACACCUCGAGCAGAGACGAAAGUCGGCCAUAGUGAUCCAAAAGUGCUGCGUGGAAAGACUUUUGCUUAACGAAUCAAAGAUACGCUAGGGAUAACAGGCUAAUAAUUCCCAAGAGCCCUUAUCCUGUCUCUUAUACACAUCUCCGAGCCCACGAGA